rnacentral:lncRNA from 1 species
AUGGUGGAGCAGGCUGUCCCACUGCAGCCCAUGGUGUACCACAGUGGAGCAGAUCUCCAUGCUGCAGCCCAUGGAGGAACCCACAGUGGAACAAGUAGAUCUGGACUGAAGGAGGCUGCAGCACACAGAGAGUGUGGAAAGGUGACUUCAGCACCAGAAAAGAGGGCGCUCAGAAGUGUGCAUGUGAGAGACAUCAGCAUGCAGAUCACUGCAUACAAUAUGCGAUCAAGUUAUUGGAAAGAAAAACAGCCGUAGGUUUAGAAAAAUCAUUUCAGUCUCCCUAUAUUGCUGAUCCUUUGAGUAUCCUGUCUAUAGAAGAAAGAAAUGCAGUUCCAAGGAGCUGGUUUGUCAGAAGGCAAAACACACUCGGUAUGAAAAAAGCAUAAAACCUAGAAUUCAGUUUCAGGCUUAUGUUCUCUAGUUUUCUUUAAAA